rnacentral:lncRNA from 1 species
AAUUUGGCAGUCUUAGCUGUACUCUUUAGCAGAAAUGGACAUGUUAAAAACUGUUGGCAUAAAACAAAACAAUGGGCAUAACAGCUGUCACGUUAGACCACAGGGGUCAACUAUUUUCCGACAAGAAAAGGUUGAUUGAUAUUUGCAACGGCAGGAAUUUAAACGAGCAAUGAAAUAAAUUUAUAUUAUGGAUGUUAACAAGACCAUAUUUUGCACAGUUUUCAGGCGAAACUCAUAAAUAAAGGAACAAAUCAAAGUUAUGGAGAAAAAUCCACCCACUUACUCCCACCCCCAAAGGACAUGUCGAAUAGACUCAUAUACAAUAGAAAAUUAUAAAAACGAUAAUAGGAAAUGGAGAAUAUGAUUCGAAGGUGUUGAACGAAAAUAAAGCUAUGAUGAACGAUAAUAAGUUUAGAGAAAU